GUUCUUUGUAGAGGACUGUAAAAAAAUAAUGCAACAGUAGUAUACCGCUGUUCGAACGUCAUAAAUCGAUUGAAAAAAACAAAUCCAGGUGAAACACUAAAUCUGAGGUAAACGCAUCAACUAUCAGAGGAAACAACUAAACAAAAAAAACACUUAAGUGCAAAAAAUAAAUAAAACGACAAUGGAACACACACAUAAACGAACUAUAAGAUAACUACUGACAUUUUCCUGACUUGGUUAAGCACAAUCAUUUCUAGCGUACGACGUUAGAUCUAUAGCGCUAGACUUUACACCCCAGCACGCUGGACUUAAAAAAACACAACUCGUUAUCUGCGUGAGACCAGCAGAUCACUGAAUUAUAGAUAUAUUUUGCGUGGAUUUAUGGGCCACACACACUAAUAUAUCAGCAGUGCAUAUGGCCUUAGCUAGUUCUUAUAGUUCAAACAAAGUAGACUAAUCUUUUCCUAUACUUAUUUGAGGACAAAUAAUAAAGAUUGAAUUUUGAAAGUCACAGAAAAUGAAAUUUGGUCACUUCAUAAUCAAAUCAAAGGUGUCAAGAAAGGUAUAAUAACAAGAAAAACUCGUUAAUCAUAACCCAUUUUUCAUAUAUUCUGAUUAAUGUUAAGACAAGUAUUAGUGUAAAGCAACUUCGAUAAAUAUAUAUUUAUAUAUUGAAUAAAAACGGAUAAAGAGAUAAGAUGUCGUUUAAGACAGUUUAGUUUCUUCAUUUAUUUCCAUAUUUAUUUG
rnacentral:lncRNA from 1 species